rnacentral:tRNA from 2 species
GUGAGAGCGAGCGACUCAUAAUCGCCAGGUCGCUGGUUCAAAUCCAGCAAGGGCCACCA